UGCCCGAAAGGAAUCUCAGUCUUACAAUGUGGUGCUGGUUCUCAGGUCCAUCCCUGGUGUUUAAUUCUGUGCUUCAUCUUCCCAGAGCUGCCCUGUGGCUGCUUUGGUUGAGUGAAACCAAGGAUUACGUGCCACUUUGCUUUCCCUUUCUCCUGUCCUCCAUCCUGCUUGGCUUCUGCUCUCUCACAGCACACAGUGACUACGGGCAGUGGCUCCUCUCCCACCCUGGAGGUCCCCGAGCAGCUCCAGCUCUUCUGUGUCCUUGAGCUUAGGCUUUUUGCUCUGCUUGGAACAGCAUCUCACCGUCUCCUCCCUUCAAUGAGCUUCAGCUUUCCAGCUGUGAGGUUCUCCUGGUUGUCCUCCUCCUCCUCCCUGUUGUCUGCUUCCCAGCUGUUCCCUGCCUGCCUUUCCCAUCCCUCUCCUUCUGUCCCUUAAAAAUGAUUUUCCCUUCCUAGGAUCUGCCUCACCAUAGAUCUCUUCUCUCUGCUCCUGCCUGACGGAACAGCCUUUGAUCUGUUUAUCUCCAAAUCAAUUGCUUUAUCUAGGCAUGUGCCCCGAGAUCCCAUCUCCCAGGCCCGCGGGCCCAUAGCUGACCUCCACCUGGAGGACAGAUGCUGUUGUAGGGACACGGGUUUGUGAGGAGAAAGAGAUUCAUCUUUGCAUUUGGAAAAAUACUCAUUACCAAAGGCUCCCUGCUAAAUCCCUGGCCAGUUCCAGCAGCAGCGUGGCUCUGGACUGGCGGUGUUGAAGCUCUUCCAGACAUCUGUCAGUUCAAUUAAGAUCAGUGGCCCCGUUUAUAAUUUAAUUUGUAAGUGUACCCGAAAGCAAAGAUGAAAUUUCAAAGCUACCUCAGAUCGGCACGUUCACAUUUUACUGUCAUGCGAAGGAAAUCACGUUGGUAGGCCCCGUCCAGAGCUUUGAAAGUCUUACCCUGAAUAUUUACCUGACCCUCUCCUGGGCUGGAAACUGGGGUUGCUUUAAAAACAGAAACGAUGUGGGGGUUUGCAGUGAAGUCAUUUUCUUGGUGUUUCUAAUGCACAGCUUCUGCUACUAGCACACCUCAGAAACAGAGUAAAAAUUGUUUAAAAAACAGGUAAAAAUCAGUUAAACCUGUAAGAAUCCCACUUAAGCUCGCUUUAAUUUCAGGUGACAGCGAAAAGCCUGUCAAUGUUGCAUUCUUCAAGACCCAGGCGAUGUCUUGUAUUUAUUAUUUCAUUGGAUCUCUGUGUGCUUUCCCCCGUUGUAAGAGCGAGGUGUCACUCCCCCUCUGAGCUUUUCCGUCCCGCUCUUGGCUGUAGUGUCUCUGUGGCAUGGCCUCGCGCCGGUUUGUCCUCCCAUCUCCUCUGAAAUAAAGAAUUAUUGUUAUCCCGUUCUAGGCGAGCCCGGGGCCCGGAGAGGUGACAGUGCAGGGUCACACAGCGAGGCCACGGCAGACCCGGGGCGAGGACUCUGGUCGGGGUGCUCAUCCAGUGCCCUCAGUCCCACCACCAUCUUCCCUUCCCAGGAGUGAAUCCUUGCGCCCUCAGAGCUAAAUACUGAAAAGACUGAGGCUGCAUUUUUGAGGAGAGAGAGAGAGAGAGGAGAGAGAUGGCUGGGCUUGCAGUAACAUGUUGUGCCGUCAUAAAUGCUACAGCCACCAUCUGUUUCCAGCCCACGACUUGAAAGAAAACUGAGCAGUAAUCUCAUAAUUCACAUGAGCGUUUUACACUUGUGAACCCUUCCCAACCUUUGUCUAAUAAUGAGGGGAGUGCAUGGUGCUAAGGUUUGUAUUUUCCCUGCACGUAUUAGUGUUUAUUUGUGUGUCUCUUUCUGUUUUGUUUUGUUUUGUUGUUGCUUUAUUUUUUUUUCCACGGACCCAUAAAAAAAAAAAUUUCUCUGGGAGAAAAAUCAGACCAGUUCCACGGUCAAAAGAAACAUAAUAAAGGUGAAAUCUCAAUUCCAUUGACCUUGCUGGCGAAAUUCUCCAGGAGGAGGCACAUUUAGCAUCCUUCUCUGUGUCUGUCUUGAUCCCUUGUGGACUAAAAGCAGGAAAGCCAUUAGAAAGUGAAGCAGGAGGUGGCUGAGGAGCUCUUUCCCCCCAGAGCCAGAGCUGCUGGAGUCCCUGGACAUGCGCAUUUCGAAGCCGCCCCGUCAGAUAGGAUGGUAAUGGUAGGGUGGAUUUUAAUGAAAACAAAUUCUGCUGCUAAUCAUCUCGGCUCCAGGCUGGCCCUGGGUGGGAUCACGGCCACCACCUGCUGUGCCAAAGACACGCUCUGGUCAGAGGCUGCCCGUGGGAGGGGGGGACACGAACAUCUGAGGCCAACACUGAUGGGUGAUGGAUGCCCACCCCUCGCAGUGCCCUCAAGGAAGCCGAGAUCAUUUAGUUGAUGGGAACACUGCUCCCCUCCAGCCUGCAAAGCAAGGCUGACAUCGUUAAGGAUUCCUUUGUGACUCUUCUGCUGUUUCUCUGGGCCUCCUCUCGUCCCCGGACCCAAUUGUUCAUCUCCUCCGAGCACUGCCGACCUGGCUGACCGAUCUCCUGCUCUCCUCUGGCCUUAGGAACAGUGACUUCCAUCAUCUCCACUGGACUGCAGAGCAGUUUAAGGAUGAAAGGGCUUCUUGUUUCGUACAUCUCACUGCUGCUAGAACUGUCAAUCCUUGCUGGACUGGGUUUGUAGCAAACUGCUACUGCAAACGAGUGGAAUUUAUUUUGUGUUGUCAUAUGUAUGGUCAAACUGUCCGAGAAGCUGCCAAACAGAACUGAGCUGAUGAUGGGCAACCGGUUCAGUCUGUUCUCAUUUUAUUUAAAAAUAAUAAUAAAUAAUUAUCAAUCAAA